rnacentral:rRNA from 1 species
AAACCAGCACCUCAAGUGGUCAGGAGGAUUAUUGGGCCUAAAGCAUCCGUAGCCUGUUCUAUAAGUUUCCGGUUAAAUCCACUAGCUCAACUAGUGGGCUGCCGAAAAUACUGUAGAACUAGGGAGUGGGAGAGGUAGACGGUAUUCGGUAGGAAGGGGUAAAAUCCUUUGAUCUCUUGAGGACCACCUGUGGCGAAGGCGGUCUACCAGAACACGUUCGACGGUGAGGGAUGAAAGCUGGGGGAGCAAACCGGAUUAGAAACCCGAGUAGUCC